AAAGAUAGCACAACUCAUUGUGUAAAUCAGGAAAGAAUGGGGAGGAUCGACGUGGGGGUGGCGCUCGGGCUGCAGAAAAGCUCAUUGAGGUUACUGCCAGCCCGCGGCUCCUUCCCCGCCUCUCAUAGCUGGGCGCGGACUGAUGACGUCGGCCCGGCUCCCGGAAGUCAUCCUUCAUGAUGACUAAACACAUCUAGCUUCUCAGAAUCAGACUGUGCAAGCCUCUCCAAACUCAUACCUCGGGCGGGAGAAGCCGAGAACGGGCUCCCAAACGGGGAAGAGAGGAGGCAGAGUCAGCAGACGAGGACCGGAAAAAGGCCUCAGCCGUCCCGACGCCCUCGGAGAUAUCACGCUGCGAUGACCGUAGCAACCGCGGGGCCUGAGCCACGGGGAGAGCGCAUCCGACCGUCUUCCGAAAGAGAGCCGCACGAGACCUCAGCACACUCAGGGACCGGGCCUCGCCAUGGCCGCAGGCAGCCCCCUCGAGAGCUGCCUGGGCGUGCGACAUCCCCAGACAGGAAGCGACUGAUUAUGCAGUCACUUUCAAGAGUGUCUUUGAGCGAAUCCCCGUAGCUGUGACUUCGGGCAUGUUCACUGGUGUAACAGGGACACUGCGCUGCUUGUCAUCAUAGAAACAGAUCAUCAUAUUUUGAUAAUUGCACCUUCAGUAAUAUCGACUGAUAUACAUACGUAGCCAGUUUAAAAAAUGCCAUAUAUUUUGAUAAACUGAUAAGAUAUAAAGCAUGUGAUCUAGUUAAAACAAAUACAUUGUUGUUAAAAUGCAGUUUACAAGCUAUUUCAUAAAAGAUUAAAAAGGUACAGUGUAAUAAAUAUGUUUGACAUAUGUGCAGUUAUUAACAUUUUAUUUUGAAUAGUUCUGUGUAGUAAAGAGGAAGUAGUAUGUGAGAAUAAGGAUAAUGGUACUGGUUAUUCAUUGGUCUAUGUGGGCGGGUUCAGAGGUGCACAGGAAGAGAGUAAAAAUGUACAGAAAACAAGUGGGAGCUGCACUACGAACAACCGCUAAACGUGUGUGAAGUUCAUGCAAUGUAGUAUCUAGUAAGUUGGUGUCUUAAGACUAUCAAUUCGACAGUCUUAGCACAGAUUAUCAUCAUGUGUACUUUUUGUGAGAAGUUAGACAUUUCCGCUAGAUAUGUAUCGUACAGUUGUUCGCGGCGUAUUGUAGCUUGUUUGCUGACAGUGUUUUGUGUUAGCAUUCAUUAGCAAAGUGAAUGGACUUUUAUUAUAUUAUUAUAAUUAGCCACUGUAUAGCUAACUCAGCUGUAUACUAUUGGUGUAGAUCACUGUUUGACGUGAAAACCCUGAAGAGUUAUCUGAUAGUUACAAAGCCAAAGCUUAGAGUUCUUCAGAACAAGGGACACCGACCACACCAGUUUGGAUGCGUGUUUGCACUCCUGUUCACCACCAGAGACCUAGAGACUUGUAUAGCUACAGAGCACGGACAGACCACACCAUCUUUGGACACCUGCUUGCCGUUGUUUCAGUGGAUACCGGGAAAGACUGUUGAACUCUACACAGUGGACUGAACUGUUACCUAAGUAAAAGAAUCAGAGGGAGAUUCAGUGGAGCAUGAAGAUUAUCUGUGGGGAUUUUGUACUUCAUAUACUGAUAGAAUCUGGAGUUACAAUACAUAACUACUGUUCUUAAUAAACCAAACCUUAAGCUAAUGAUGUGUACUGUCUUAGUGGAAAAAUUGCAAAUGCACUGUUUAAUUACCUCAUAUUUUUUAGUUGUUCUCUUUAGUGAUGGUAAAGUUGUUGCUGCUGACCUGAGUCAACCAUUUUUUAUUCCUCUCCAUGUCAGCUGGGAAACCAUACAUUCGUACUCCUUUUUAUGACCAACGGGAGCAUCCCCACGCUGCACAACAAACCAUGCUGCAGCCUGUAUGUAAGACAGGCACCAACCACUUAAUAUGCUGUUUUCUGGGUUUAUUAAUUUAUUAAAUACAUGACAAUCAUUGAUA